CGCAGCCUCUCUCCUCGCCGCUGUGGUGAAGGGAAAGGGGCAUAACCCUGUGCAUUCGACCCAGAUAAACAAAGGGCUGUCACCGCUUGAAGUCUCAGAUGCUCCUUUUUUGAACGGCUUAAUCACUUCGCGGAUAUUUCCCCUUUUUUUGUCGCUGAAUCCUUCCUGAACUACCCUUGGUUUGCAAACCUAAAUUUUUAAUGCUGUUGACUGGGCAUCGCGGACCCGAGGAGGAUUUCGUCCUGUCGUUUCUCAGUUUUUGUUUUCAGCUCACAGAAGACACUGUACAGCAGUACUUCACAGGAGGCUCCAAAGCACUGAAGAUGUUACCUAGACGGGACGAAACGUCUACAAAUCAACUUCCCAGGACAAUUGAAAGGAAUUUAAGAUGAAAACUAACAUACUUUGAGAGGAGAGUUGGAUUGGUUGACAAGUGGACACAGAGGCAUAAUCACAGAAAAUGCACCAUUCAAUGAUGUUCGGCAGUUAACUGCCAGAUUGUGUCUAAAUUCAUCGAUGCAUUCUCCAACCUCAGCAACCCAACCAGCACUCUUCUUUCAUACAGUACUAUAAUUUUGGUUUCCUAAAUUGGCAAUCAUGUGAAUUAGGGCUAAAGGGUCAGAGUUAUGUGCAGAGAUUUGGAACUAUUCUCCUCGGAGCAGAAGAGUUGAAGAGGCAAUUGGAGAGAUACUUGAAUGGCUUUGAUGGAAUAAAUAAGGUGCACCUGUUCACAUGACAAAGGGGGCAAUAACUUGAGGACACAGAUUUAUGGUGACUACAGAAGAACCAAAGGAAAGAUAAAGACAUUUCUUUUUAAGAAGUUGCAUCUUGGAUCUAAAAAAGGAUGGGGAAAACAAAUUUACCAAUAACAUUUAAAAAUGUAUUCUUGAAGGGAAACAAAAUGGGGCUGGGACACUACGAACAGGAUGAACUGGAUAGCUAAACUAAAAAUAAGCCACUGGCUGAAUGGUCUCCUACCACGGUGUAUAAUUCAAGGAUUCUGGAGUGGGCAUUAAGCAAUUUUUUCACUGCCACUUGAUCAAGGAUGCCAGGGAUCGGUACUAGUUCCUAAUCAGUGGCAGCUUUUCUCAGAAUGUUACAAUAAUAGUAAGCAUAGUUAAGAACAAUAUAUCUUUAUUUAUCAAGUCACUAAUUGAGGUAUGAUGUAGGUGUUUAAGUGUGGGCAUUGAGUACAGCACACCAUAGCAGUUUGACAUGCAAGGUUUUGAUUGUAACCUUGAAAUCUCACCUUGAAGUUUAGCUUCAGACUUCAGAUUUAAGAUGUAAAACAAAAGAACCAGCAAAAAAAAAAUUAAUAAACAUUUUCUUCACUGGCACAAACUAAAUAUUUUGAUAAGACAUCCCCUAUCUAAAUUAUAAUAAUACGAUUGCACUUCAUAAAUAAC